ensembl:lncRNA
GGACAAACAUGGCCUGUCACAUGAAUCUAUUGUUUUUGCUGGUUCGUGGUUGACCCUUCCAGUAAGAGGCUGGAUUAUUGGUAUAAUCUCAUUACAGUGAGGUGAUUAAACUGAGAUUGAGUCAAGGGUUCAGCUGAAAGCGGCUCAAACUGUAUCUGUACACACACACACACAUGCACUGUUCACUGUUUCUGCAAAGGUACACAUUUUGUUGACUUGAUGAAAUAACUAACCAGAGGUGCCUGUGUGUACAUGGACAGGGGCAGCUCCUAAUAUCUACAGACAACAGAGAUGGUAGGAGCACAAAUAGAAGGACUGUGGGAACACAAGAAGUACUGGAAACAUCUCGCUCAUUAGCAUAUGUAGUGUAAGUACACUUGCACCUUUUGUGAAAAAGAAUUAUACAGGGGUAUACUUUUAAAAAGGAGUACUUUUAUGAAAGGAAUAUAUUUUAAAAUAAUAUUCUUAAGUGUGAAUUGAAUGUAAAAGUCAGACUUUCAGAGUGUAUCUGCAAAAACUGAGACAGACUAAAUCCAGAAAAACUGUCAACGUCUCCAAGACACUUCAAGAAACCUUCCUGCAAAACUGCAGCACUGUGAAGAGUGUUUAGCACUUGUGAAAAAUGCUGUAAAGCGAGGAUGCUUUCAGAAAUAAUGUUUAUUGUUAAUGUAAUGUAGU